UGUAUGUCUUACUAUUGUAGAAAAGGAAAAAAGAGAACAAAAUGAAGAAAAAGAAAGAAAAGAAGAAAAAGAGAGAGAAAACAGGACCUGUCCAGCUUUCCAAGUUCUUCAAAAACAAAAAGAAGAAUGAAAACUACAGCAUGAUAACAGGAAAGAAAAUUAAGAUGAAAAUUAAGAAGACUAAGGAAGAUAUAGAGAGAGACCGGAACCGUGCACAGCUCCUGGAAUUUCUGAACUCUGCCUUGUAAUGGGAAGAGUGCUGGCCAAGGACUUGUAGAUAUACCAAGUCAAUG